UACGAAGGGGGCUAGCGUUGCUCGGAAUCACUGGGCGUAAAGCGCACGUAGGCGGCUUUCUAAGUCAGAGGUGAAAUCCUGGAGCUCAACUCCAGAACUGCCUUUGAUACUGGAAAGCUUGAGUUCGGGAGAGGUGAGUGGAACUGCGAGUGUAGAGGUGAAAUUCGUAGAUAUUCGCAAGAACACCAGUGGCGAAGGCGGCUCACUGGCCCGAUACUGACGCUGAGGUGCGAAAGCGUGGGGAGCAAACAGG
rnacentral:rRNA from 2 species